CCAUGGACCUCCAUCCCCUCCUUCUGUAAAAUGAGGGUGCUUGAGCCUCUGAACUCCUGCAAAGUGUGAUGUCCCAUUUGCUACAUGUGACCCCAGUCACAAAGAUGUUAACUCACUCUAGGGCGGCUAACAUAUUUCUUACAUACCGAUUACAAAAGUGAUUCAACAGAAAUCCCUUCCAUUCGAUAACAAUCUCAAGGAGAUUGGAUCUAGUGACCCGGAAGCCACUAUUACUGUUAACUUCCCCUUGGGCUCCUUGCUGUCUAGUCUGACCAAUCCCCACCCUCACUUUACUUGAAGCAGGCCUUGCUGUUAUUUACUUCUUGGAGGCUCCCAAAGCUCAAACCAGUUCAUCAGAAAGAUUCCUGGGCUCAGAAGACUUCCUGGAAGUGAGAGGUUUUAAUUCCAGCCCGGGCAGGAUCAGAUUGAUCCAGAUAAGCCUGGUCUGAGAUUCUUCUGGGAUUCUUCUGUCAUUGUCAAUUGCUGAUGUAGAAACUGUUUUGUAAUACUUUGAAUAGGGUCAUUUUCCAGACAUGAUCAUGAUAGCAUUUUUUUCCGUGGUUAGCAACCAUGGAGAGAUGGCAUGCAAAGAAAAUUACCAAUAUUUACUAUGAGGUUGCUGUGAAAUUGCAAAAUUGGAUUUUUUAUAUAUUUUAGGGAUGACAAAAUGAUCAGCAAGAAAGGAUAAUGCUGACUCCAUCAGUGACUGAUGGAGGGAAACUCUGGGGUGAGCAUAAGUGAGCCCAUGGAUACUACGUCUGAAGAUGAGAUUUGCUCUCUGUAUAUUUCUAGCAGCCAGCAGUUUAAGUGUGUGGAGAGUCUACACAUGCAGAACAUGAACUUGGAGUGUUCCGAUCAGAGAAACAGUAUCCUGUUAUUUGUACCAAUUUUCUAGAAAAUUAACUUUUCCAGUUGGGCAAGCUCGGUUUACUUGGCAAGAGAAUGCAUAAAAGCACCCAUUUACAUCUAUUGAUUUGGCAGAGACAUAAAGAGUAUGGUGAGUAAUGCCCUUCAUUCAGAC
rnacentral:lncRNA from 12 species